CCAAUAGCGUAUAUUAAAGUUGUUGCAGUUAAAAAGCUCGUAGUUGAAUUUCAGGCCUGGCUGGACGGUCCGCCUUUUGGGUGAGUACUGUCUGUGGUCGGGUCCUACCUUCUGGCGAAGCGUCAUGGCCUUAACCGGCCGUGGCGGGGAACCAGGACUUUUACUGUGAAACAAUUAGAGUGUUCAAAGCAGGCAGUCGCUUGAAUACAUUAGCAUGGAAUAAUGGAAUAGGACAAUGGUUCUAUUUGUUGGUUUCUAGGACCGUUGUAAUGAUUAAUAGGGAUAGUUGGGGGCAUUAGUAUUCAAUUGUCAGAGGUGAAAUUCUUGGAUUUAUUGAAGACUAACUACUGUGAAAGCAUUUGCCAAGGAUGUUUUCAUUAAUCAAGAACGAAAGUUAGGGGAUCGAAGACGAUCAGAUACCGUCGUAGUCUUAACCAUAAACUAUGCCGACUAGGAAUCGGGCGAUGUUGACAAAAUGACGCGCUCGGCACCUCAUG
rnacentral:rRNA from 1 species